UUGACCUCGGAUCAGGUAGGACUACCCGCUGAACUUAAGCAUAUCAAUAAGCGGAGGAAAAGAAACCAACAGGGAUUGCCCUAGUAACUGCGAGUGAAGCGGCAACAGCUCAAAUUUGAAAUCUGGCUUCGGCCCGAGUUGUAAUUUGUAGAGGAUGUAUCUGGCAAAGUGCCUUCCGAGUCCCCUGGAACGGGGCGCCGGAGAGGGUGAGAGCCCCGUACGGUUGGACGCCUAGCCUGUGUGAUGCUCCUUCAAAGAGUCGAGUAGUUUGGGAAUGCUGCUCUAAGCGGGAGGUAAAUUCCUUCUAAAGCUAAAUAUUGGCCAGAGACCGAUAGCGCACAAGUAGAGCGAUCGAAAGAUGAAAAGCACCUUGGAAAGAGGGUUAAACAGUACGUGAAAUUGCUGAAAGGGAAGCGCUUGCGACCAGACUCGGGCCGGGCGGAUCAUCCAGCGUUCUCGCUGGUGCACUCCGACUCGGCCUGGGCCAGCAUCGAUUUGUGCCGAAGGAUAAAAGCGGCGGGAAUGUAGCUCUCUACGGGGAGUGUUAUAGCCUUCAGUUUAAUGCUUCGGUGCGGAUCGAGGACCGCGCAC
rnacentral:rRNA from 1 species